rnacentral:rRNA from 1 species
UUCGGAUUGUAGUCUGCAACCCGACUACAUGAAGCUGGAAUCGCUAGUAAUCGCGGAUCAGAAUGCCGCGGUGAAUACGUUCCCGGGUCUUGUACACACCGCCCGUCACACCAUGGGAGUCGGAAAUGCCCGAAGUCUGUGACCCAACCUUAGGGAGGGAGCAGCCGAAGGCAGGUCGGAUGACUGGGGUGAAGUCGUAACAAGGUAAC